rnacentral:rRNA from 1 species
UACAGAGGUCCCGAGCGUUGUUCGGAUUCAUUGGGCGUAAAGGGCGCGUAGGUGGCGGGACAAGCGUGCGGUGAAAGCUCGGGGCUCAACCCCGAGUCGGCCGUGCGAACUGUCUUGCUUGAGCACUGUAGAGGCAGGCGGAAUUCCGGGUGUAGCGGUGGAAUGCGUAGAGAUCCGGAAGAACACCGGUGGCGAAGGCGGCCUGCUGGGCAGUUGCUGACACUGAGGCGCGACAGCGUGGGGAGCAAACAGGG